UACGGGGGGUGCGAGCGUUGUCCGGAAUCACUGGGCGUAAAGGGCGCGUAGGUGGUUUGAUAAGGGUGUGGUGAAAGUCCGGGGCUCAACCCCGGAUCUGCCGUGCCGACUGUCAAACUCGAGGGCUGUAGAGGCAGGCGGAAUUCCGGGUGUAGCGGUGGAAUGCGUAGAGAUCCGGAGGAAGACCGGUGGCGAAGGCAAUCCCCUGGGCCUGCACUGACGCUCAUGCACGAAAGCGUGGGGAGCAAACAGG
rnacentral:rRNA from 1 species